AUGCCAUCACUUCCUUUUCUCUGUCAUCCUCACUGCCAUCCGUAACACCUGGUUAAGAAAACAUCUACCUGAUGCUUGUACUUUCAAAAAUUCCCCAAAAUAGAUUUCCAUGAAAACUAGAGAAUGCAGAAAAGAUGAGACUCUGGACAGGUCACACAGCGUCUUCUCCAACUACUUCCAAGCUGAGCGGAAAUGGCUUCCACCUCGUUUCCCUCUUUACGUUGGACACGAUAUUUGUUGAUGAUCUCUGAAAACCAUUAUGGGAAAAAGUGUGCAUUACUAGUUUAAUCACAGAUGGACUAAUAUCACACUGCGUUAGUAACUUUCUUCUCACCUAAUCUCUGUAAGGCAAAGCCCCCCACUUGCACCUGGGCAUCAUCGAUUCUGAACACCCAGCGCCCGGGGAUACCCACAUUUGUCGUCAUCUCCACGUCUGCGAUGUCAUCGGUGCGGGACCCAGGGAUGUUGAAGUAACGCUUCCCAUCGCCAGCGUUGAAACCUGCCUGGGAAGACAAAGGCAGGGAGUGAAAACUCAGCGAGGGGAAGGAGACAACAGACAGGGAGAGGACGCACUCACCAGCACUCUAAAGGAGAACAGAAAUAUGACAGGAGGAAGGCAAGAAGGAUUGGGACUUCUUACUGGAAAUCAAGCUUUUGAUACUUUUUCAGCAUCGAUCACCAGGAGAAGGCAUCCCCCAAUUUGCUUGGUCAUUCAACAGUGGAGCUGCUCUUAUCUCUUGAGAGUUUUCCUAGUACCUACCUGCUCCUCCAGGCCCUUCACUCUCUGCUUGUAGGCUCGCUCUUGAGAAUCCAGAGUCCUUUCUGCAUGGAGCUGGGUAUUGCGCAGCCUCUCUGCUUCCAGAUCCAGAUCCUCUCGAUGCCGAGAAGUCAGUUCAAGCAGUCUCUGGGCAUGCUCCAGCUCCAGCUCAGCAAUCUGGGACUUGUGUAAACCACAGGACGUAUCAGCCGGCUCCCUCCAUAGUCCUACCUGGUCCGUGUUGCUGUGAAUCCAUCCCAGGACCCCCUAAACUUCUUUGAUUGGAAACAUAUACCUGGCUGAGGGUCUUUGGAGCAGCGGAGGCAUCCUUCUCCCAGCGGAAGGCUGAGCGGGCCAGUUCCUUGUACUCUCC